UUUGCUUUUUUCAACUGGUCUCAUUCUCGAGACCGUAAUCCCGUGUGGGCUCAGUUGGGAUAGGUGAGUCUAGGAGGGUCUCACUUGCACAUUUGAAGUAUCAUUUGCAAUUCUGGGAGUGACUGGGACAGCUCACUUCUCUUUUUCACACGGUCUUCCAUUCGGGUCUUUUUUACAGCAUACUAACUACUGAGUUCCAAGAAAAUGGGAGCAGGAGUCACAAGGCCCCUUGAAGCUGAGGCUCAGAAGCCUGCACAGAGACACAGCCAUUGCAGUGUUUAAACCAAAGCCAGUCACUUGGCCAGCCCAGAGCAGAAACCGCUCUGGAGCAAAGCUUGUGUCAGCAGAUCUGAACACGAAGGAUGGAGUCUUGCUCUGUCACCCAGGCUGGAGUGCAGUGGCGCGAGCUCAGCUCACUGCAACUCCGUCUCCCAAGUUCAAGUGAUUCUCCUGCCUCAGCCUCCCGAGUAGCUGGGAUUACAUGCACCUGCCACCACACUCAGACGGAGUCUUGCUUUGUCAUCCAGGCUGGAGUAUAAUGAUGGAAUCUCGGCUCACUGCAACCUCUGCCUGCCUCCCAGGUUCAAGCAAUUACCAGGCCUCAGCCUCCUGAGUAGCUGACAGGUGCACACCGUGCCUGGCUAAUUUUUUUGUAUUUUUAGUAGAGAUGGGGUUUCACCAUGUUGACCAGGCUGGUCUUGAACUCCUGACCUCAAGUGAUCUGCCCACCUCGGCCUCCCAAAGUGCAGGGACUACAGGUGUGAGCCACUGUGCCUGGUCAUUAUUCUAAUCUUCAUUACCAUGCAUUUGUUUGCUUGCUAACUUUAUAUAAAUAAAAUCAUACAGUAUAUACUUUUGGAGUCUGGGUUUUCUCCUAAUAUAAUAUUCUUGACCCAAGUGUUAUUUAAUAACGUGUGUUUUAAUUUCUAGGUGAAAAGUCCUUUUUGGUUUUUGAUCUUGUUAAUUUUUGCAUUUUAGUCAAAGAAUAUUAUGUAUAUUAUUUCCUCUUCUUUUUUUAAAACAACCAAGUAAUCAAGUUUUAGUUAGUAUCAGCAGCAUGUUUGCCAUUUUCCAGUGCUUCUCAUCCCUUCAUGCAUUACCAUACUUCCAUCUGAAAUAAUUUCUAUUUUGCCAAAAGAACUUAAUUUGGUAUUUCUUUUAGUUUAGACUUGCUGACUAUGAAUUCUCUUAGGUUUUGUUUGUCUGAAAUCAUUUUUAUUUUACCUUCUUUCUAGAAGAUUAUU
rnacentral:lncRNA from 1 species